UACGAAGGGGGCUAGCGUUGUUCGGAAUCACUGGGCGUAAAGCGCGCGUAGGCGGGUCGUUAAGUCAGGGGUGAAAUCCCGAGGCUCAACCUCGGAACUGCCUUUGAUACUGGCGACCUGGAGUCCGGGAGAGGUGAGUGGAACUCCUAGUGUAGAGGUGAAAUUCGUAGAUAUUAGGAAGAACACCAGUGGCGAAGGCGGCUCACUGGCCCGGUACUGACGCUGAUGCGCGAAAGCGUGGGGAGCAAAC
rnacentral:rRNA from 1 species